UGCCUAAUACAUGCAAGUCGAGCGGUAAGGCCCCUUCGGGGGUACACGAGCGGCGGACGGCUGAGUAACACGUAGGAACGUACCCCAAACUGAGGGAUAAGCACCAGAAAUGGUGUCUAAUACCGCAUGUGCUCUUCGGAGUAAAGCUACGGCGGUUUGGGAACGGCCUGCGCAUGAUUAGCUUGUUGGUGAGGUAAUGGCUCACCAAGGCGACGAUCAUUAGCUGGUCUGAGAGGAUGAUCAGCCAGACUGGGACUGAGAACGGCCCAGACUCCUACGGGAGGCAGCAGUAGGGAAUUUUCCACAAUGGGGGCAACCCUGAUGGAGCAACGCCGCGUGCAGGAUGAAGGCCUUCGGGUUGUAAACUGC
rnacentral:rRNA from 1 species